rnacentral:lncRNA from 1 species
UUUUUUUUUUGGGGAAAUGUACUAGUAUUAUUGGUAAACCCUCACUUGUGGUGGAGGAAGACCGUUGUUACUAUCUAUUACAAAAAGUGAAAAGAGGGCAAAUUACAUUUAUCUAAGCAAAUACAACCAAUUGUAGAAACUAGGAAACUAGAGAUUGAUUCUAAAAAUUUGAAUGACCUUGAGAUCCAAUAGGUGCUAAAGAAUCAGCCGCUUGAUUUGCUUUGAGAUAAAUAUGUGAUAUAUUAAUAGAUAUAACCUGAGCAAACUCUAAUAUAUCCUCCCAAAUAAGUCGAAUAGCCCAAGGUACAGUGACAUGAUGAUGAAACCAAUGAACUUGCACACUAGAAUCCAUUUCUAUAGCAAUCCUCUCUAUGCCAAGGACAUAACAUAUUUGAAGGCCUAUCUUAAGAGCUGAUACCUCCACUAAAGUGUUAGUACCAACCCCAAGAGAGUGAUAGAACCCAAAAAUUACCUUUCCGUGCCAAUCCCGAAGCAAACCACCACAACCAGUCGGGCCUAGAUUUCCAGCGCUAGCACCAUCAAUAUUUAGUUUAUAAAAACCAUAUUGUGGUCGGAACCAUCUAACAAGAAAUGGAGCUUUGACUCGUAUUGGCAACACAGAGAUGUGUAGCUUCUGUGAAUAAGUAAUAGAGCGAGACAAUUUCUUUGGUUUUAGCAUAUCGUUCAAUUCUUGUAGCCAAUUUUUUACUUUAGCACAAACUCUGUGCAAGCUUGCGACCUCAUCCUUAAACCGUGCAGAAUUUCUGGCCAACCAAAGCUCCUAGGAAAGAUGAGAAUUGAAGGAUCAAUCGAAAUCUUCCAUACAAAUAUUAGUCACACCAGUACCCUGUCGACAACUAAAAUUCAUUAUGCCAUAUAUUAAAAAUGUGAUCGCAUCAUUGCUCAUCCUGAAUUGCCAAAGAAAACACCUGAAUUUACAAAAGUUAGCUUCACUCGGGACAUGAUUACAUAUUCAUUGCAAU